rnacentral:lncRNA from 13 species
GGACUAGGAAACUGUCACAGCUAGAAGUUCGAAAAGGUUGAUGUGGGAGGGCUGGUGUAUGCCAUGCUAAAAUAAUUUGUUUAGAGAUUAGUGGACACUCAUUUGUAAAAGUGGUUUGGAUCUAGAGUCUUGCACAGCAAACUGAAAGGUUUGGACUUUUCCUUGUAGGAAUAAGGGAGCAUAUUGUGAAAAAUUGUAUGUGAGAAUGGUUCAUCUUGAAUAAACUAGCAAAUUUAGACAAUGAAGACAAGUAGCUCAACUGGCAUUCUGAUCUGUUUUUCCAGAAUACAAUCAUACCAGCCUCAUAUAUUUGGUUGAAAAAAGAAAAUGUUAGUAGUGAAAAGUAGUGAGAACAGAAUUUGGUGACUCACUGAAUGGGGUGAGGAAUUAUCUUCUGACAGCAGAUUGAAGAAUCACAAAUGGAAGCUCAAAAUACUUAUCCAAAUUUCUGAUUUCAAACAUGGAUUCACAACUCCAGCCUUAAAGACAGUGUAUAAACUUUUGUCUGUUUGUGAACAUCAUAUGCAGAUACAGAGUUCUGGUGUUGGUUUCUUAUUGUAAACUUUCUCAUUUCUACAGUUCAAAGUUUUUGAUUCUGAUUGUAUUCUGUAUUAAGUUCACUGAUGAAAUUAGCAGAAAGAGAAAAAUCUCUGAGUCUCUACAUGUAUCAACAUAAAUUGUUCACAGAUUUUACUCAGUAACAAUUUCCAAUUUCUAGUUUUUCUCAUUCAUUCACAACCUAUAAUGUUACAGACAAUUGACAUCAUGUUACUUCGGCCAUAAAACUAAGACCAAAGACACACAUUUUAAAGACACAUAUUAAACUGUGAUGGGCUUGAUUUAAUUUAUAUGCAUAUGUGAAAGCAACCUGUAUUUUGAUGACAGAUAAUUCCUAAAAAACAGGUCAAAAAGUGUUACUCAUAAAAUGGUUCAUUUCUGCAAUAGCAAUAUUGUAUUUGAAAGUUUUGAAUCUUAGCAAAGCAUUGGUAUAAAUCACAGACAUAAUUGACAAUAGGUGAUUUUAAAAAGAGAGAUAUACCCUAGUCCUGCUGGCUAAAGGAACAUAGAGCAUUUCCUCUUCUAUAUUGUUGUCAGUCACA